rnacentral:misc_RNA from 1 species
AAGUCGUAACAAGGUUUCCGUAGGUGAACCUGCGGAAGGAUCAUUAACGAAAGCAAAACACACUCCAUCUGUCGCUGGCACUUUUGUGCAUGUGCACGGUGGGGUAGUGUCUUUCCAACAUACCUUUGUGCACCUCUGCGUGGGUCCCUUUACUGGGACUUGCGUCUUCUUUACCAACGUAUGGACUCAGAAUGGCAAUUGCGCUUACGCAACAUAAAUACAACUUUCAGCAACGGAUCUCUUGGCUCUC